GACGAACGCUGGCGGCGUGCCUAAUACAUGCAAGUGGGACGCAAGGGAACACACUGUGCUUGCACACCGUGUUUUCUUGAGUCGCGAACGGGUGAGUAACGCGUAGGUAACCUGCCUAUUAGCGGGGGAUAACUAUUGGAAACGAUAGCUAAUACCGCAUAAUAUUAAUUAUUGCAUGAUAAUUGAUUGAAAGAUGCAAGCGCAUCACUAGUAGAUGGACCUGCGUUGUAUUAGCUAGUUGGUAAGGUAAGAGCUUACCAAGGCGACGAUACAUAGCCGACCUGAGAGGGUGAUCGGCCACACUGGGACUGAGACACGGCCCAGACUUCUACGGGAGGCAGCAGUAGGGAAUCUUCGGCAAUGGACGAAAGUCUGACCGAGCAACGCCGCGUGAGUGAAGAAGGUUUUCGGGUCGUAAAGCUCUGUUGUAAGUCAAGAACGUGUGUGAGAGUGGAAAGUU
rnacentral:rRNA from 1 species